UUCUCUUGAGAGCGGCGGACGGGUGAGUAAUGCCUAGGAAUCUGCCUGGUAGUGGGGGAUAACGUUCGGAAACGGACGCUAAUACCGCAUACGUCCUACGGGAGAAAGCAGGGGACCUUCGGGCCUUGCGCUAUCAGAUGAGCCUAGGUCGGAUUAGCUAGUUGGUGGGGUAAUGGCUCACCAAGGCGACGAUCCGUAACUGGUCUGAGAGGAUGAUCAGUCACACUGGAACUGAGACACGGUCCAGACUCCUACGGGAGGCAGCAGUGGGGAAUAUUGGACAAUGGGCGAAAGCCUGAUCCAGCCAUGCCGCGUGUGUGAAGAAGGUCUUCGGAUUGUAAAGCACUUUAAGUUGGGAGGAAGGGCAGUUACCUAAUACGUGAUUGUUUUGACGUUACCGACAGAAUAAGCACCGGCUAACUCUGUGCCAGCAGCCGCGGUAAUACAGAGGGUGCAAGCGUUAAUCGGAAUUACUGGGCGUAAAGCGCGCGUAGGUGGUUUGUUAAGUUGGAUGUGAAAUCCCCGGGCUCAACCUGGGAACUGCAUUCAAAACUGACUGACUAGAGUAUGGUAGAGGGUGGUGG
rnacentral:rRNA from 1 species